GUAACUCAAGUGUGGCUUUGCAACAUAGCUGCUCACACCUGAGCUAGGCUAACCUGGUGUUCAGAUCUGGGUUAACUCUUCAGGUUGACUGGGAGUCCUGGCUCUGAGACAGUCACCUGGCAGGAUGCCGAGGAACUAGGAGCCCAGGAGUAUGUCCACACUGAAGCUGGAAGCAAGCUUCCCAGGCACAUUUUGGACCAAGGAGGGAGCAAAUUUCAAGGCUGAGAGGUAUCCCAGAAAAAGUUGUCUCUGCAGUCAUCUCUGUAUUCAAUCACCUGGUUGAAUGCCUCAAAAAAUUGUAGCAUAAGCAUUAAGCCAUUUGGGCCACCAGAAUAGUGAUCUUGGUAUUGUACCUAGUAGAAUGGCGUAGCUAAUUGUCAGACCAUCCAAUGUAUGCUUUCCCUUCUUUGUUACUCUCACCUUGAGAGGCCAGGAGAAGAUUAAAAAGGGACUAAAUCAGUGUAUUCCUCAUGGGCCAUUGCUGACAUCACAAAUCCUGGCUUCUAGUCUUGACUUUGGGAGAGCAGUGUGGUCUUGUGGUUACAGAAUAGCUAAGCACAUAGAUUUGGCAAUUUUUUUCUGAAAGGCAACAUGGUUAAGUGUAUAAGAUUCGGGUUCACCAUACUAGAAAUCUGUGUUCUAUUCCUGCUGUGCCAGCACUGACAUUGUGAAGUGUAUAGAAUUCUCACCAGCCAAUGGAUAAAGACAAGUCUCCAACCCAGUGUACCUUCCACUAGGCCAAAGGGUAUUUUGGCAAGCAAGGUGGCUGGCUAGUUGAGACCCCUCAGUGAGGUUUGGGAACAUUCGAAGCUUGGAUUAUUCAGAGAAUUAAGGGACCAGUCUUGAACUUGUAUAAAUGAUGAUUUCUCAGAAGCUGAGCCAAAACCUUACUGACCUAGAGACUAUUUAGCAGCCAAAUUCCAAUCAUGUAGGUGGUAGAACUUGUUAAAAAUAUUCUGACUUUAAAAUAUAUAUAUUCCCCUGACCUCUCUGGGAGCAGGCUGAAUGGUUUGGGCUGAAACAUUUAAAAUUGUACAGGCAGAGAUCAAGCGUGAAACUUUCAGUCUUAACUGUUAAAACUUGGCAAAGUUAAUGGGAAGUGUUAGGGUAAUCUUAAUUAUCAGUGAAGCACAU